AUGGACUCCUCGCUCGUAAGCCAUUCAUGUUGACAGCGGUUAUCUUCCGCGUGGCUCGGCUCUUGCCGGUUAUCCACUGCCGACCGCCCCCGAGGAGUUCCCGGUCUCCGUCGGCUGCGCCGGCCAUGUCGCCGCCUGCAACACCUCGUUGCCUCUCCUUCUCCGUUCAUUCUUUUCCCAAGUCCAGUCGCAGCCGCCGCCGGAUCCGGUUGCCCUCGACCCAACGCAGGACGCCGCAGCCCCUACAAGUCCAGCCGCCGCCGGAUCCGGCUGAGUUUAGCUUUCUGGUCGGUGCAGCCACUAAAAAAGCAUUCUACACAAAAAAAUCCCCACCGAGAAGCUCUCAAUUGCGUUGCUCUUCUUCCACAUCUCCAUUCCUCUAGCACAGAGCUGCUCUUCUUCUUCUUCCCUCUAUUCAUCCAUCCAGCGAGCCCACGAACCCACAUCGUCAGCGCUGCUCUCCUUCUCUUCUCUCUAUCAGCGGCUGCUCUCCUUCCUCUUCUAUCCGUUCUCCAGCCACACCAAACUCACGCACGCCCGUGGCGGCUGCUUCGCGUUCGUCGCCCGGUUGCGGCGCGGCUGCAUAUCGUGUAUGGGCUCGUGGUGGUCGGGCCGCGCGCACGGUGCUGGCUGGGCUUGUGGCGGAGGGUGCGGCAGCAGUGGCCUCGACCUUGGAGGCGCGGCAGUGGUGUGGCCCGGCCGCGCACACGGUGUUGGCUGGGCCUGUGGCGGAGGGCGCGGCAGCGGUGGUCUACUCAGGGUCGACGCAACAACGGUGGCCUGCUCAAGGUCGACCUUGGCGGCUGCUCGACGGGGCCGCGUGGAUCUGCGUCGGGGCUCCGGGCUCCGGAUCGGCGUGGUCGUGUCCAGCCCACCCUCCUCCGACUACGCCUUGCUGCGGGGCUGCGGGCCCAGAUCUCGUCGGUGGACGCUUGGACUAUUUUUUCUGAAUCUUCACCUGGGCUCUCUUUUUUUCUUUAAGAUUAGCCUAAAUGGCAAAUUAGCUGCAACCAUUCUCCUCUGUAAGCUGGGCAGCUAGUGCUGCUAUUUUUUUUAUUCACGGUAGUGGUGGCAAAGAGGCGGAGGAGGUCCCGGCCAGGGGAGGCACAUACGGCGGCGAAGAGAAGGGCCGCCGGGAGUGGGCACGCGUGAACCACUCGCAGUCGCCGGGGAUCUGGAGGCUGGCCGGCGGAGAUCGCCACCUCUGUUUUUUAUCAGGCGGCGGAGGUGUCGAGGAAGAGGAAGACGGGAUCGUGGGUUGAAUUACUACAAAUGCAGGGUCUUUUUUGUAAAAACAAAACGUUUUCUCAGAUCCCCUUAAGAAGGGACUGCAGGUUUAAUUAUGA
rnacentral:rRNA from 1 species